rnacentral:rRNA from 1 species
UAGGGAAUAUUGGUUAAUGUGCGAAAGCGCGAACCAGCAACGCCGCGUGUGCGAUGAAGGCCUUCGGGUCGUAAAGCACUUUUUGCAGGGAAGAGGAAGGACGGUACCUGCAGAAUAAGUCUCGGCUAACUACGUGCCAGCAGCCGCGGUAAAACGUAGGAGACGAGCGUUAUCCGGAUUUACUGGGCGUAAAGCGCGUGCAGGCGGCAUGGCAAGUUGGAUGUGAAAGCUCCCGGCUUAACUGGGAGAGGUCGUUCAAUACUGCGAGGCUUGAGAGUGGUAGAGGGAAGCGGAAUUCCGGGUGUAGUGGUGAAAUGCGUAGAUAUCAGGAGGAACACCAGUGGCGAAGGCGGCUUCCUGGCACAUUUCUGACGCUCAGGCGCGAAAGCGAGGGUAGCAAAC